AUUGAACGCUGGCGGCACGCCUUACACAUGCAAGUCGAACGGCAGCACGGGUGCUUGCACCUGGUGGCGAGUGGCGAACGGGUGAGUAAUACAUCGGAACGUACCUUAUCGUGGGGGAUAACGCAGCGAAAGCUGUGCUAAUACCGCAUACGCCCUGAGGGGGAAAGCGGGGGUACGCACGACCUCGCGCGAUUAGAGCGUCUGAUGCCUGACUAGCUUGUUGGGGGGGUAAAAGCCCACGAAGGCGACGAUCAGUAGCUGGUCUGAGAGGACGAUCAGCCACACUGGGACUGAGACACGGCCCAGACUCCUACGGGAGGCAGCAGUGGGGAAUUUUGGACAAUGGGGGCAACCCUGAUCCAGCAAUGCCGCGUGAGUGAAGAAGGCCUUCGGGUUGUAAAGCUCUUUUGUCAGGGAAGAAACACCGGCUCUAACACAGUCUGGGAAUGACGGUACCUGAAGAAUAAGCACCGGCUAACUACGUGCCAGCCGCCGCAGUAA
rnacentral:rRNA from 1 species